AUGUCGCCCAAUCUGAGGCACCUUGACCUUGUGAAGUGCUAUAGGAUCACGAAAGAAGGAUUGGCCGAGGCGAUGCCAAGGUUUCCUCUGCUGGAGAAGAUCGUGCUUUGGGGUUACCGAAGAAGUGUCACAGGGGAUUUGUAUCAAGUCAUUGGUAAAACAUGCAAUCAACUCGAGUGCCUCGAGCUAUGCCAUGGGAGCAGGGAACAGACGCUUGGGAUUGCGGCACUGCAUGGGCUGCGAGACCUUGCCCUCAUACGCUGCAGCGUGAACGUCGAAGGGCUGGCAUUUAUCAUUGAUAGCUGCCCUCUCCUGGAGCGUCUUCACGUGAGGGGUUGCUCCGAGAUCGUGGGCGAGCCAGUCCUGAUGGCCAAGCGUGCCAGGAUCAAGGCAAUGUCGGUUCAAAUCUAUGCCCGCUAUAACUGGGACUAA
rnacentral:rRNA from 1 species